rnacentral:rRNA from 1 species
GACGAACGCUGGCGGCGUGCUUAACACAUGCAAGUCGAACGAUGAAGCCGGAGCUUGCUCUGGUGAAUUAGUGGCGAACGGGUGAGUAACACGUGAGUAACCUGCCCUUGACUCUGGAAUAACUGCGGGAAACUGUAGCUAAUACCGGAUACGACCCUCGGAGGCAUCUCCUGGGGGUGGAAAGAAUUUCGGUCAAGGAUGGACUCGCGGCCUAUCAGCUAGUUGGUGAGGUAAAGGCUCACCAAGGCGACGACGGGUAGCCGGCCUGAGAGGGUGACCGGCCACACUGGGACUGAGACACGGCCCAGACUCCUACGGGAGGCAGCAGUGGGGAAUAUUGCACAAUGGGCGCAAGCCUGGUGCAGCAACGCCGCGUGAGGGAUGACGGCCUUCGGGUUGUAAACCUCUUUCAGCAGGGAAGAAGCGAAAGUGACGGUACCUGCAGAAAAAGCACCGGCUAACUACGUGCCAGCCGCCGCCGUAA